GAUGAACGCUAGCUACAGGCUUAACACACGCAAGUCGAGGGGAAACGACAUCGAAAGCUUGCUUUUGAUGGGCGUCGACCGGCGCACGGGUGAGUAACGCGUAUCCAACCUGCCCACCACUUGGGGAUAACCUUGCGAAAGUAAGACUAAUACCCAAUGAUAUCUCUAGAAGACAUCUGAAAGAGAUUAAAGAUUUAUCGGUGAUGGAUGGGGAUGCGUCUGAUUAGCUUGUUGGCGGGGUAACGGCCCACCAAGGCUACGAUCAGUAGGGGUUCUGAGAGGAAGGUCCCCAACAUUGGAACUGAGACACGGUCCAAACUCCUACGGGAGGCAGCAGUGAGGAAUAUUGGUCAAUGGACGGGAGUCUGAACCAGCCAAGUAGCGUGCAGGAUGACGGCCCUAUGGGUUGUAAACUGCUUUUAUAAGGGAAUAAAGUGAGUCUCGUGAGACUUUUUGCAUGUACCUUAUGAAUAAGGACCGGCUAAUUCCGUGCCAGCCGCCGCCGUAA
rnacentral:rRNA from 1 species